UCCUGACAAGUUACUUAUCCUUAGUUCCCCAUUUUCUGCUGUAGUUAAGUGAGUAUAAUAAAAGUAUUUAAUAACUGUUAAUAAUUUACACCUAUCAACCCUUGCUGGAUACAUGAUUUCAUUAUGUGGAUGUUAUGAAUGAGCUGUGCAACUGUUGGUGAUGGAUUAACACAAAAAAACAAGGAGCAAGUGACCAAAGUUAGCCCAGUCCCUGAGUCUCAAAAUGUAUAUCUGGAAAACAUGGGCUAAGCAGGCCUCGCUUGCCACUUGUCUUAGUUUAUAUUGCCCCAGAAGCAGACUUUGAGCCAAGUCUCUGAGGACAAGCCACCUAUAGGGAGGUGCAAGGAACAGGGGUAGGAAGGAGGGCAAGUGGUAUGGGAGGGGAAGGCAACCAUUAUUCAGCCAGCUACAACAGUGGAAGAUUAAAGCUUAAUCCCCUGGGGGCGCUCUGGUAAAUAGCACAAAAUAGGGUUCAGAAUUAUUUUGGCCAGGGAGCUGAAUAUUCUUGACCAACACUCAUAAACCACUUGUCAGUGGUUAAGCGUGAUUAAUUCAUAGGCACUUCCUGCUGGCUGUUUACAGGGACAAAGGGGUUUUCUGUACUCUGAAGGCAAACCACAACAAAGAUGAAAGUAUCAGUUACCAGACAUCAGGUUGGCACAGGUGGAAAUGGUGAAAAUACCUGAGGAGCUAUGGGCAGAACACACACUGCAGCUACACUAGUCAUAUUUGUAUAGGUUUCCCCAAUGGGAUUACAAUGAUGAGGCAAUUGUCAUAAGGUGCAAAUGUUGUUCUUAGCUAUCAGUUCCCACCCUGCCCUUCCACUUCCCUUAAGACCUGUGUGAUUUAAUGCAGUCAAUUUUCUCAUGAUAGCACUUGAUCUGCCCCAGGUAUGUGUACUGCUAAGAAUGCUUGGCAUGAACAUGCCAGGGGUUUCCAUCAGUGAAUGGGAAGGUUUAUGCAAAUAACACUGCACAGCACUGAGACAUUGAUGCUGAACCUUGACUUUUCCCUGUCUUUUGCUUUACAAUGCAAGUUGCAGAUGUCGGGAAAGGAGCUGAGCAGGAAGAGAAAGGGAGCCAGCACUGUGCUGGGGUCUUUACGCCUCACCGAAUCCACAACCAGUCCUGCAGCAGUAGAGAGCACAGAGAUGGCUGCACCACCUAGGUGUAAAGGAAUGCAUGGGAAGCUGGCUGAAACAACCUAGGAGCAAACUGCCUUCCACCCACAGCUGGACAGAGGUGCAUCCUGUGUUUUAGCCCCAGGGCUGCAUUAUGGAAGCCAGAUGGGUCAUUUUGAAAAGACCAAAACUGCCUUCUCUCUCAGGACAAGGCAACCCCAGCAGGUGAUGGAAGACACACCAGUGAAGGAUUUUGAGCAGGGCAGUGACACUGACCAUCAGAAAGCCUGGAAGAGCAUAUCCCCAGACAGAAGCAUGGAUCUAAGAUACCAACAGCAUCCCACACUCCGUUUGACUUUUGUUCACAUACAUUUCAGUGCUGAGUUCCUGCACCAUCCCUGCACUCCUCUUCAUUAACCUCCUGCCCCCAUCAACAGCAUAAGUGGAUUAUUUCAAAGCAAACCCUAAGCCUACUGAACUCUCAAAGGCAAUGGAGGACUCUGAAGGCCAAGCUCAGCUAAAUGUUUUUGCUUCUUGCCUCUUUCCUUUUUAAUUACAGUGUAAUUUGCAUUUAUGUGAUUUCCUUCUGCCAUUGGGUUGUGGACAGCAUUGAUGAUGAUCGACAUUCCAUAACUUCCCAUCAUAGCUGGAGAGCAGAAGGAUGGCCGCCGUCUCAGAUAAAAUUCUAUCCAAUUAAACAGUUCAAUGAACACGUCAUGGUUUGAGGUUCUCAUUAUCCUCUGUGUGCAUGUCUCAUGGAUAUUUCUUUACACCCAUCAUCGUAAUAAGGUCUUAGUGCAGAAGAUGCUCCA
rnacentral:lncRNA from 1 species